GAUGAACGCUGGCGGCGUGCCUAAUACAUGCAAGUUGUGCGGUAACAGAGAGAGCUUGCUCUCUGCUGACGAGCGGCGGACGGCAGAGUAACGCGUAGGAACAUACCCCAAACUGAGGGAUAACUGCUCGAAAGAGUAGCUAAUACCGCAUGUGGUCUUCGGAUUAAAGCUUCGGCGGUUUGGGAGUGGCCUGCGUCCGAUUAGCUAGUUGGUGAGGUAAUUGCUCACCAAGGCGACGAUCGGUAGCUGGUCUGAGAGGAUGAUCAGCCUGACUGGAACUGAGAACGGUCCAGACUCCUACGGGAGGCAGCAGUAGGGAAUUUUCCACAAUGGGCGAAAGCCUGAUGGAGCAACGCCGCGUGCAGGAUGAAUGCCUUCGGGUUGUAAACUGCUUUUCUGUGUGAAGAAUAUGACGGUAACAC
rnacentral:rRNA from 1 species